rnacentral:rRNA from 1 species
ACGACUCUCGACAACGGAUAUCCCGGCUCUCGCAUCGAUGAAGAACGUAGCGAAAUGCGAUACUUGGUGUGAAUUGCAGAAUCCCGUGAACCAUCGAGUCUUUGAACGCAAGUUGCGCCCGAAGCCAUUAGGCCGAGGGCACGUCUGCCUGGGUGUCACGC